UACGCUGGCGGCACGCCUAACACAUGCAAGUCGAACGAAGUAGCAAUACUUAGUGGCAGACGGGUGAGUAACAUGUAGGUAUCUGCCCUUUGGCCUGGAAUAACACGAGGAAACUUGUGCUAAUACCGGAUAAGUCUUUACGGAGAAAGCUUUAUGCACCAUUGGAUGAGCCUGCACUUGAUUAGUUUGUUGGUGGGGUAAUGGCCUACCAAGACUGUGAUCAAUAGCUGAUUUGAGAGGAUGAUCAGCCACAUUGGGACUGAGACACGGCCCAAACUCCUACGGGAGGCAGCAGUGGGGAAUCUUGCACAAUGGAGGAAACUCUGAUGCAGCGAUGCCGCGUGAGUGAAGAAGGCCUUUGGGUUGUAAAGCUCUUUCGUCGGGGAAGAAAAUGACUGUACCCGAAUAAGAAGGUCCGGC
rnacentral:rRNA from 1 species